GCCCGAAUAGCUCAGCUGGUCAGAGCAAUCGCCUUGUAAGCGAUAGGUCGUCGGUUCGAAUCCGACUUCGGGCU
rnacentral:tRNA from 1 species